rnacentral:rRNA from 1 species
GCGGCAACAGCUCAAAUUUGAAAUCUGGCCUCGGCCCGAGUUGUAAUUUGUAGAGGAAGCUUUUGGUGCGGCACCUACUGAGUCCCCUGGAACGGGGCGCCAUAGAGGGUGAGAGCCCCGUAUAGUAGGACGCCUAUCCUUUGUAAAGCUCCUUCGACGAGUCGAGUAGUUUGGGAAUGCUGCUCAAAAUGGGAGGUAAAUUUCUUCUAAAGCUAAAUAUUGGCCAGAGACCGAUAGCGCACAAGUAGAGUGAUCGAAAGAUGAAAAGCACUUUGAAAAGAGGGUUAAACAGCACGUGAAAUUGUUGAAAGGGAAGCGCUUGUGACCAGACAUGCGGCGGGCUGAUCAUCCGGUGUUCUCACCGGUGCACUCUGCCCGCCUCAGGCCAGCAUCGGUUCUCGCGGGGGGAUAAAGGCCUUGGGAACGUAGCUCCUCCGGGAGUGUUAUAGCCCAGGGUGCAAUGCCCUCGCGGGGACCGAGGUUCGC